rnacentral:misc_RNA from 1 species
AAGUCGUAACAAGGUCAUCGUAGGUGAACCUGCGGUGGGAUCAUCAACAGUUCCAACACCUUUACAAGCAGCUGCAGCCCCAGGGGCCAGUUCCUACCUGCUCUAACCGGGCAAGGGGGGACGGGUCGCUGGUCGGCAGCGCUGCGCCCUUCGUGUGAACCUUUUCUGCUGUUUUGUCAUUGCGGUCAGACCACAACAUCACAUGCUGUGGAAUGGCCGCACUAGCAAGGCAACAACCCCCAUUUUGCGUUUCCCUCGCGCUCUAUGCGUGGGGGAAUGCGCUGUUAAAAAACACCAAAAAGUAACUAAAUGUGAACAAGUAAUAUACCAACAUAGUUGGAAAAAGCAUACAAUGCAAAUACAACUAUCAACGGUGGAUCACUUGGCUCUU